rnacentral:lncRNA from 1 species
AAGCGGUGCCGGGGCCGGGGGGGUGUUUCGGGUUUUGUUUUGGAGCCGGGAAGCCGGGAAGCCGGGAGCGCCGCCAACGAGCAGACCCCGGCGGACGGGGGCAGAGUCGCGGUGCGGGUGAGAAUCCCGGUGCGGGGAGACCCCGUCCUGCCCUGCCUGCUGCCAUCCCCCCUCCGCCGCUCCUUGGAGAGUCGUGCCCGAAGCCCAACUUUCCAGCCCGCCCGCCGGCCCCAGCAUGAACCAGACGGCCGGGGUGAGCAACCACGUCCGCUGCUCCGGCAAGGGCUCCAAGGUGUUGAGCUUCUAAAAGAAAGCUGAAGUCACCAAGAAAAUUCCAGUACUAAAACAUAGCAGAGUGCAUACUGGAUCCCUCCAAAGGUCAAAAUAGUUUCUUUUUUCAUCUCCUUGAUAAU